rnacentral:rRNA from 1 species
AAAUUGAAGAGUUUGAUCAUGGCUCAGAUUGAACGCUGGCGGCAGGCCUAACACAUGCAAGUCGAACGGUAACAGGAAGAAGCUUGCUUCUUUGCUGACGAGUGGCGGACGGGUGA